UGGCAUUCAAUACGUAUCUAAGACCUCUGU
rnacentral:piRNA from 1 species